AUACGUAGGGGGCAAGCGUUAUCCGGAUUUACUGGGUGUAAAGGGCGCGUAGGCGGGGGUGCAAGUCAGAUAUGAAAUCUAUGGGCUUAACUCAUAAACUGCAUUUGAAACUGUAUCUCUUGAGUGCUGGAGAGGUAGACGGAAUUCCUUGUGUAGCGGUGAAAUGCGUAGAUAUAAGGAAGAACACCAGUGGCGAAGGCGGUCUACUGGACAGUAACUGACGCUGAGGCGCGAAAGCGUGGGGAGCAAACAGGAUUAGAUACCCUGGUAGUCCACACUGUAAACGAUGAAUGCUAGGUGUAAGAGGUAUCGACCCCUUUUGUGCCGGAGUUAACACAAUAAGCAUUCCGCCUGGGGAGUACGGCCGCAAGGUUGAAACUCAAAUGAAUUGGCGGGG
rnacentral:rRNA from 1 species